rnacentral:rRNA from 1 species
ACACAGGUGGUCGGGUAGAGAAUACCAAGGCGCUUGAGAGAACUCGGGUGAAGGAACUAGGCAAAAUGGUACCGUAACUUCGGGAGAAGGUACGCUCUUGAUGGUGAAGUCCCUUGCGGAUGGAGCUAUUGAGAGUCGCAGAUACCAGGUGGCUGCAACUGUUUAUUAAAAAACACAGCACUGUGCAAAAUCGUAAGAUGACGUAUACGGUGUGACGCCUGCCCGGU